rnacentral:rRNA from 1 species
UACGUAGGGGGCAAGCGUUGUUCGGAAUUACUGGGCGUAAAGGGUGCGUAGGCGGCACGGCAAGUCGGGAGUGAAAGGCCUGGGCUCAACCGAGGAACUGCUUUCGAGACUGCCGAGCUAGAGUGCGGAAGGGGCAACUGGAAUUCCCAGUGUAGCGGUGAAAUGCGUAGAUAUUGGGAAGAACACCGGAGGCGAAGGCGGGUUGCUGGGCCGACACUGACGCUGAGGCGCGAAAGCCAGGGGAGCAAACGGG